CAGCCGCCGCGGUAAUACCGGCGGCCCGAGUGGCGGUCACUAUUAUUUGGCUUAAAGCGUCCGUAGCCGGGUUGGGAAGUCCUCCGGGAAAUCUGGCCGCUUAACGGUCAGAAUGCCGGAGGAUACUCCCAGCCUAGGGAGCGGGAGAGGCCGAGGGUAUUCCCGGAGUAGGGGUGAAAUCCUAUAAUCCCGGGGGGACCACCUGGGGCGAAGGCGCUCGGCUGGAACGCGUCCGACGGUGAGGGACGAAGGCCAGGGGAGCAAACCGGAUUAGAUACCCGGGUAGUCCUGGCUGUAAACGAUGCGGACUUUGUGUCGGACAAGCUAUGAGCUUGUCCGGUGCCGGAGGGAAACCGUUAAGUCCGCCGCCUGGGGAGUACGGCCGCAAGGCUGAAACUUAAAGGAAUUGGCGGG
rnacentral:rRNA from 1 species